ACUUCUCCCCUAGUAGAACGUCGCGACCCGCUGGGUGUCGGUCUACGGCCCGGGUGCGGUGACUGACGCGCCGCCGGUAAAACGGCACGCGUCAAACCCCCGGUCGCCCGGCCGACUGCCCGGCGGUACACGCAAGGUAUCAGGCCGCAGCUCUCUACGAGUCUGUGCGUCGAGGCCGUCGCAAGCGCGCGCCACGUUAAACGGAGGUAUGCGGACCUGGCGCCGCCCACCGUCGUGGCCCGCUGCUGGCUCGUACGGAUAACCUUCGACAGGCCCGCAAACGCCGUCACCGUCGCGCGCCGGUCCCUCGGGUCCGAGCGCGCGCGGUGACCGCGAUACCGGUCGGCGACGCUACUGCUUUGGGUACUCUUAGGACCCGUCUU
rnacentral:rRNA from 1 species